CGUGACCCCCUUUUUUUUCUUGUCCACAAAGAAAAUUUACAAAGGAACUUACCAGGAAAUUUCCCAACAACUUCUAUUCAAUUACACAAUAUAUAUACACGCACAGUAACAUUGAUAAAGAGGGGGGCAUCUUUUAUCACCAACUUCUUCUUCUCUGGAAAAUUCCCCGGGAAGAACACUCAUCCAUUUUUUAUAUUCACACCAUACACACCAAAUAGACGAUUAACAAUUCCAUUCAAAAAGAAAAUCAUCACUGAUAUUCACCAACACCAGACGAUUUUUUUUCUUUUCUAGAUCACAACGUACACACAGACGCCAUUAGAGACGCCAUUUUCUUCUCCUUUCUUUUCCAGGUGCACACUCUUAGAUAGAGCCCCAUUUUUUUCUUCAAUAUAGAUUUCCAUAUACAUAUCGGUGGAUCUGAAGAAAGGGAGAGAGAUAGAGUGAAUUGAGAGAGAGAUUGAUUGAAGAAGAGAAAGAGAGAGUCGAGAGAAAGAAGGCAUAAAGAGAGAGAGAGGGGGGGGGAAUUGAGAGAUCACAGAGAGGGUACGAGAUGAUCACAAAAUAAGUCUAAAUUCCACCGAAAUUUGCAUUUCUCAUCAAAACACACACUUAGAUCUCAUCGGAAACGCGAUUUUCGUGCUUGGGCUACUGUUCCGGCAAGACUAAGCUUUUUUCGGUGAGUUCUUUGCCGGAAUCGGAUAUUUUUGGUCGAAUUCAGGCUCUGUAAGUACCACUUCUGUCCUAGUCUUGGAAUACCACAAAAUUCUCUCCGUUUCUUUGAGUUUUCAGUCUAAAUUCCAUCAAAAAGGGUAAGUUUGCCAGAAUUCGAUUCAUCUCAUCAGCUCCUGCCCGUCUAAGCUCACCGGAGCUCCAUCUAGACGGGUUUUCAGUUUUUGUUUUUGUAUUUGUGAGCGUUGGGUUGAAUCUGCUUGGAUUGAGGAGUAUCAACGCGGUUGGGUUGGUUCGAAAUUGGCGAUUCGAGGUUCGGUUUGAGGUUUCUGGGUGCGGACUCUUUUAUUCAAAUAACAUUGAGUUCGUAAGCUUUGAAUUGAGGAUGGAGCCGUCCACAGGGUCUAGAGUCUUGAUGGCUUCCAAGGUGCCCAAAAAGUUAAUCAAAUGGUAGGGUAUGUUCAACUAUUCUGAAAGGCAUGAGAUAGAAAAAUUAUUCGGCAAUCUUACAUCGCUUUUGAAUAUCACACCCCAACCAGAUCUAAUAGAGGCCGCAUCGAACUUCUGGGAUUCAGACAGCUUGGUGUUUAGGUUCGGGAGUUGUGAAAUGAUGCCUACUUUGGCAGAAAUAUCCGGUCUAUUUCAUUUGCCAUAUAUCAGUAAGAAUUUAAUCCUAGCUCGAAAUCAUUCUAGCUGGAGAUUUCUCGAGCUUUGCGGUUUGAAGGCUAAUGAUCACUUAGGGUCCCUGAAACAAUCUUGGAUUUCCUUAGAUUAUUUGUUCGCUAGAUUUGGGUCUCCAGAUGGUUUUGAUCACUUUUGGGAUGAAUUUUGUACUACCAAGAAGAAUUGGGAUAAACGGCGUCUUGAGGUUUUCUGUUUGGCAUUGUUAGGUACUUUAGUGUUCCCUUUAGAAGAAAGGCGUAUCAACACUCGUUUACAAUCAGUAGUGAUGGCUUUGUUUAAGAAAAAGUAUGGAGUUGCUAUCGUACCUAUGAUUUAGGUGGAACUGUAUAAGGCUUUGACUGAGGUAAGUAGGUGGCUGUGAUUUUUUGAAGGAAGCAAUUUGAUACUACAAUUAUGGAUGAUGGAACAUUUUCACAGUCCUUCUUUGGUUAGACCGGAUGUGAUUGACUAUUGUUUAAACAAGCGAGUGAACGCCAUCGAACAAAGUAUGUGUUUUGAUAAGUUCUCGUUGCCUAUGGGAGUCAAUGCUUGGGUCGAAUUUCUCGAAGCAAGAACUCAUGACAAUAUCCUCUGGACUUAUCGUUGGCUUAAUUCGAAGGUAAUCUUAUCUGGAUGUCGCAUGCAACCUCUUCUAGUUCUGAUGGGGCUCAAAUGCAUUAGAUCUUACAAUCCUAGUAGGGUAAUGCGUCAGUUGGGUAGACCUCAAGAAAUUCCACCAAUAUUGGAUCUUCAAAAGGAUGUCGAGUAUUUUAAGAAUAUAGCCAAAGGGGAAAUCAGAUAUGAGCAAUUCUGGCGUAAUGCAAUGAAAAUGGGCGUAGAUUCUCUCAAAGCAGGUUUGGAUAAUCCAGGAUACACUCCGAGAUAUGGAAUCUGGCUACAAUCUAUUCCUCGGGUGUCAAUAGACCAUUAACAGCGCAACUUAGAGGGAGAAUAAAGGAAGAAUGUAUAAUUGAUGACUGUCAGGACGAAAGUACGAGGGCCAAAGUGGAGGAACUGAGAGUUUAGUUAUCAAGUUUACUUAUAACUGUGGAAGGAUGUCAAAACAGUCUUUUCAGGUGUGCUCCUCAUGAGGCCGGAAUACGUGCUAGGAGGUUUUUCCCAAUCAUCAAAGAUACAUUGCAGGAUAUGUUACAGAGUUUGAAUGGGAGAAUGAGAACUCCACAGACAGGUCCAUCUCAACCAGGGCCAUCACGCAGCGCAAAAGUUUGAAGGAACACUUCAUCUCUUUUAUUUUUGAGUCCUUUGUUUUUGUCAUGGUAUUUGUUGUGCCUUUGUUAAGUCGGUGUCCCGUUUGUUUUAACAUUAGAGUCUUUAUUAGAAAAGUUAUGUAUGUUGUCCUGUGGGUCUAGAGUGUUGUUUAGCUUUCGUUGUUUAGUUUUAAAGUUGUCUUAAAUUCGAAGUUUGUUUUAGUUGUCUCUUUUAUAAAAUGUUGUGACGUUGCGUUGUU